rnacentral:rRNA from 1 species
CUACGGGUCGCUCCAGUGGGGAAUAUUGAGCAAUGGAGGAAACUCUGACGCAGCAAUGCCGCGUGAGUGAGGAAGGAUUUCGGUCUGUAAAGCUCUGUCAAAGUGGAAAAACGGCAGUGUAUCUAAUAGGUGCAUUGUUUGAUGGUACACUUAAAGGAAGCACCGGCUAACUUCGUGCCAGCAGCCGCGGUAAUACGAAGGGUGCGAGCGUUGUUCGGAUUUAUUGGGCGUAAAGCGCACGCAGGCGGAUGGUUAAGUCAGAUGUGAAAUCUCGGGGCUCAACCCCGAAACUGCGUCUGAAACUGUUCAUCUAGAAUCUCGGAGAGGGAAGGGGAAUUUCGCAUGUAGGGGUAAUAUCCGUAGAGAUGCGAAGGAACACCGGAGGCGAAGGCGCCUUCCUGGACGAGCAUUGACGCUGAGGUGCGAAAGCGUGGGGAGCAAACAGGAUUAGAUACCCGGGUAGUC